GAUGAACGCUGGCGGCGUGCCUAAUACAUGCAAGUCGAGCGAACAGAUAAGGAGCUUGCUCCUUUGACGUUAGCGGCGGACGGGUGAGUAACACGUGGGUAACCUACCUAUAAGACUGGAAUAACUCCGGGAAACCGGUGCUAAUGCCGGAUAACAUUUAGAACCGCAUGGUUCUAAAGUGAAAGAUGGUUUUGCUAUCACUUAUAGAUGGACCCGCGCCGUAUUAGCUAGUUGGUAAGGUAACGGCUUACCAAGGCAACGAUACGUAGCCGACCUGAGAGGGUGAUCAGCCACACUGGAACUGAGACACGGUCCAGACUCCUACGGGAGGCAGCAGUAGGGAAUCUUCCGCAAUGGGCGAAAGCCUGACGGAGCAACGCCGCGUGAGUGAUGAAGGUCUUCGGAUCGUAAAACUCUGUUAUUAGGGAAGAACAAAUGUGUAAGUAACUGUGCACGUCUUGACGGUACCUAAUCAGAAAGCCCCGGCUAACUACGUG
rnacentral:rRNA from 1 species